UUGUUCAACUGCCCUGUGCAUCAUGGAAGUCCAUCGGGGAGCCGGACCCAGAAAGGAGAUUCGUAGCAUGAGGCAUUGCCAUAGCUCAGGUAGACAGAUUAAUGUUUCAUCAAGCCAAAAAAUAUUUUGAUUUCACAAUAUGAAAAGAAACAUUUUGAAUCAGGAGUGAUGAAAAGUUUUUAGUUUUGAAUGAAAAUAUCGAAAUGAAAUGCUUUGACAUUUUUGAGCUAUGGAGCUUCCCAUUGCGUGAAUAAUUUUAAUAUUUCAACUCUUCUUCCUGAUUUAGGACAAACACAUUUUGAUAAUCAGAAUGUUCUAUGGGAUGAAAAUUCAGAUUCUUGAUGGAUUCUUGUGUUCCAUGAGCUAUUUCUGGGGCAAUAUCUGGACUCCUUCAUGAGAAGUGUUCUAACUUCAGAAUCAUUGUGUUAGAUAAGUGAUUUCCUAAUGUGAAUAAAGAACAGGAGUACUUGUGGCACCUUAGAGACUAACAAAUUUAUUAGAGCAUAAGCUUUCGUGGACUACAGCCCACUUCUUCGGAUGCAUAUAUGUGAAUGUAUCUUUCUUUGAUUGGAAGAGACAAAACAAACUUUCCAACUUUCUAAAUUCCCAGUCAAUUUCUCAAGUCGGAACUAGUACAAAAGAAGAAAUUGUUCUCUGCACUUGGUAGCUAAACUGAAACCAAAGUACGGUAAUUAAGGCAAAAGCUUUUGCCCACAACAGGAACUGAAAGCACAUCUAUGUGGAAAAAUGUAAAUUCCAGCAUUCACUCAAUUGUACCGAAAGAAAAGAAUAUAGAUAUUUCCUUAAUGCAGUACAUGACAUUGUAACAUAUUUAUAAAACUUGAUUUGACCUUGAAUUCUGUAUAUAACUAAAAAAGCGUCAUUUUUUUAACUUAUUCAGAUUUUAGGAGGGUUCAUUGA